rfam:Oryctolagus cuniculus unplaced genomic scaffold chrTn0049, whole genome shotgun sequence.
ACAACGGCUCUUUUCAGAGCCACUUCCGGAGUCGGGAAAAGGCGG